rnacentral:rRNA from 1 species
UACGUAGGGAGCAAGCGUUGUCCGGAAUCAUUGGGCGUAAAGAGCGUGUAGGCGGUCCUGUAAGUCCGCUGUGAAAGUCAAGGGCUCAACCCUUGAAUGCCGGUGGAUACUGCAGGACUAGAGUCCGGAAGAGGCGAGUGGAAUUCCUGGUGUAGCGGUGAAAUGCGCAGAUAUCAGGAGGAACACCGGUGGCGAAGGCGGGUCUCUGGGCAGUGAACUGACGCUGAGGAGCGAAAGCGUGGGGAGCGAACAGG